rnacentral:pre_miRNA from 1 species
AGUGUAAUUGUUGGGUCAUAUGGUAGUUUCAUUUUUAACUUUUUGAGGAACCUCAAAACUAUUCUCCAGAGUGGCUGCACCAGUUUGCAUUCCCACCAACAGU